rnacentral:rRNA from 1 species
GACGAACGCUGGCGGCGUGCUUAACACAUGCCAGUCGAACGGUGAAGGGACCAGCUUGCUGGUUCUGGAUGAGUGGCGGACGGGUGAGUAACACGUGAGUAACCUGCCCCCUUCUUCUGGAUAACCGCAUGAAAGUGUGGCUAAUACGGGAUAUUCUGGGUCUGUCGCAUGGCGGGCCCGGGAAAGAUAUUGCUUCGGUGGGGGAUGGGCUCGCGGCCUAUCAGCUUGUUGGUGGGGUGAUGGCCUACCAAGGCGGUGACGGGUAGCCGGCCUGAGAGGGUGGACGGUCACACUGGGACUGAGACACGGCCCAGACUCCUACGGGAGGCAGCAGUGGGGAAUAUUGCACAAUGGGCGCAAGCCUGAUGCAGCGACGCCGCGUGAGGGAUGGAGGCCUUCGGGUUGUAAACCUCUUUCGCCAGUGAAGCAGGCCUGCUCCUUGUGGGUGGGUUGACGGUAGCUGGAGAAGAAGCGCCGGCUAACUACGUG